AUUGAACGCUGGCGGCAGGCUUAGCACAUGCAAGUCGAGCGGAGAGAGGUAGCUUGCUACUGAUCUUAGCGGCGGACGGGUGAGUAAUGCUUAGGAAUCUGCCUAUUAGUGGGGGACAACAUUUCGAAAGGAAUGCUAAUACCGCAUACGUCCUACGGGAGAAAGCAGGGGAUCUUCGGACCUUGCGCUAAUAGAUGAGCCUAAGUCGGAUUAGCUAGUUGGUGGGGUAAAGGCCUACCAAGGCGACGAUCUGUAGCGGGUCUGAGAGGAUGAUCCGCCACACUGGGACUGAGACACGGCCCAGACUCCUACGGGAGGCAGCGGUGGGGAAUAUUGGACAAUGGGCGGAAGCCUGAUCCAGCCAUGCCGCGUGUGUGAAGAAGGCCUUAUGGUUGUAAAGCACUUUAAGCGAGGAGGAGGCUACUUUAGUUAAUACCUAGAGAUAGUGGACGUUACUCGCAGAAUAAGCACCGGCUAACUCUGUGCCAGCAGCCGCCGUAAGAC
rnacentral:rRNA from 1 species